GAGACUAUAGAACAGGAGAGGGGGCCUCUAUGGGAGACCGUGGGCGGGUGUUGGUGUAUGUCGGUUGCAACAGAUGGCGCAGGAGCAGCUUUGUUUACAUUCAGGCGCCUCCCCCCCUCCAGACCCACCCCCAACCCCUAGAACCAAUCAGCAGUGUUGCUACAUGGGAUCAAGCCGCAAAUGUUGCUACUUUUUUUCUUCAGUCUGGUUAUUUCCCAUUUUAAAUAAAAAAAAAUAAAGGUAGAUAAAUAUUAAAAUGAACAGAAGGAACUAUAUAUACUGUAUAUAUUUACUAGGUAGAUAUAGCCUGACUGCAUGUCAUGAGUAAUGCUAUUAUUGUUAUAUUAUUAUACCGCAAUUAUAUUACUUUCUCUGCAUGUGUGGUUAGAUGUGUUUUAUGUGUUUAACCUUUCUGUAUACAUACUGGAAUGAACCAAGGAAUUGUAGCCCUACUGCCGUUCUUUAAAAACAAUGUGAUCAUGUUUUUCUUCCAAACUCAUUGUUUUAGCACGCACGCUGACUUCCAUCAGUAAUGAUGAUAUAUAGACAUUGAGUCAUUGGUUUGUAGGGGGAAAGAGUGGGUGAAUAUAAUUAUCUUGGUCUAACUUAUACUGUUUAUUAUACCGCUAUUCGCAGCAAUAUCUUUCUCUGCUCCGAUUGCAACGCUGCCUCGUUCAAAUAUCAUAACACCGCCGCGGCCUCCACGUUUACCAGCCGGGGCCUCAAAUCAUGUCCCUUUGUGGUGAUAAAGAGGACACAGCCUGGUGUGAAGCUACAUUUAUUACGGAAGGAUGCCAGCCGGGACCCGAACACGUCCGAUAUCAUCCAAGAGAAUGUGGCAGCUGAAGGGGGAGAGGCCAAGAAAGAGGCCAAGGGUGAAGACAUUUAGCCACUCCCCCUGAAGUACAUGGCAUCAUUCAACCCUCUUGGUGAGCUGCAGGAAUGUGCUUCCCAUUGCAGUGCACCAGCUCCAUGUACUGAUUUUGGGUGUGAACUUGAUGGGGUUGGAGGAAACUCGACUCGGCCAUCAAGCUCAUCACAAUAUAACAUGAAAAGUGAAAAUUGCUGCACACAACAGCCUGCUGUCUGCACCGGGAGGCAAGGCAGCUCAAAGCCCAGGCUGUUACAACUCCUGGGCAGUUUUUGCCCAGAGCCAGCAAUUUUUUAGGUCCAAUAGGGAUGGAUUUUUUCUGAGGUCAGGUUCAACAUGCUGCAAGAUCUAAGCCUAGUAGGAGAUAUGGGUUACAAGAGAGGAGGUUUGCUCUGGCCUUAUACUAUCAAAGUCCAAAUGCUAAUAGAUUUCUGAGCACAGUAUUUCACUUGCCUUCAGUUUCAACACUUCACUCAUGACUCAGGGGUAUUUCAGUACAUGUUGGCUGGAGCAAACAGACUCUGACAGCCCUGCAGCAAAGAGCACAGGCUUUGUCAAAAGAAGAUAAACUUCGUGGGAUUUGCCAUUAUUUAGUAUUACUCUUGUUACGCCAAGAAUUUUUUUCCAUAUACUUUGCCAAAUAUUGCAAGUAAUGCACCAUUGUUGGGCUUGCUUGUUAUAAAUCAGAUCUUGUUCAAUUAACAAGCUUUGGGUGUCUGCCACUUUCCAGUUGUAAUGCAAGGAAUCAUUUAUCUUCCCUGCUAGAUAUCACACGUAAUGCACCAUUGUUGGUUUUGCUUGUUAUAAAUCAGAUCUUGUUCAGUUAAAAAGCUUUAGGUGUCUGCCACUUUCCAAUUGUAAUACAAGGAAUCCCCUGCCAGAUAUCGCAUGUAAUGCACCAUUGUUGGUUUUGCCUGUUAUAAAUCAGAUCUUGUUCAGCUCACAAGCUUUGAAUAUCUGCCAUUGUUUAUUUCAGGUGUAAUGCUUGGAAGCAUUUGUUCUCUUCCCUACCCAACAGUAUGCAAUGCUUUAUUGUGGAUUUUGCCUGUUAUAUUUAAUCUUGUUCAGGUAACAAGCUUUUGGUGUCUGCCUUACCUAAUAUGUCCUGCAGUGACACUUGGCUUGGUUUCAUGAUGUGAAAUACAGCAUGUAAUUUCAUCACAUUAAGUGUCUAUCAUCACGUGUCUGGCAUCAUUAACCCUAGAACGCUAACCAUGGGUAUGAGGUACCCGAAGCGAAUGACGUCAUUGCCAUUGUGUAUGGUUCCGGUGCUCUGAGGGUACCCACCUCCUCAGUAGCUUCAUGUGCCCGCUUGACAGUGUAGGGGAAGGUCACGUUGUCUCGCUCUCUCUGCUCACCUUUGUUGUAGGCCUACAUUCGGGUGCGGCAUACCCAUGGUUGGUGAUACAGGGUGUUGUACAUGUCCCUAGGAUAUUGUUUACGUACUUUUUUAGUGAUCACCUGUGCAGUGGAUCACAGGACCUGGGGGGCCAUACAAGAAGUUUGGAAGCCAUCGGAUGAUAAUUUUUUUUAUGAAUUUUUUUUUUUUGAAAUUUUUGAACAUUUUUCCUAUUUUUAGUAACAUUUUUCAGUACCUGAUUUUCAUACCAAAACAAUACGUUUUUCAGUUCUUCUUAAUGUUAAGUCAAGAUACAAAGUUUGAAGUCCCUUCAUGUAACUUUAUUCCAUUAAAACUUUACAUUUAAUUUUUUUUUUUUUUUUCAAAAUCGGGUAUGAUGUACCCAUGGUUAGUAGUGGUGUGACUUUUUCUAAGGUUAGUGUUCUAGGGUUAAUGUGGCUUCCAGGAGUAAUCUUGUUUGUAUUACAGCUUGCAAAUUUUUUUCUGCUUUAUAUGAUAUACAUAAUCACAUAGGUAUGAUUUACAAAAUGUAAUGGCAGUUGAUAUUCUUGACUAAUGCCUCAUAAACCUUGUGAAAAAUAAUUGUUUUUUGAGGGGGGGGGGGGGGGACAGUGGUUUGUUUGGUUGGCCAGUUCAAGGAGUUUCAUAUCAAAUGAUUUUAUUACAUCCAACUUUAAUGUGUGCUAAAAACAUAUAUUUUAUUACAUCCAACUUUAAUGUGUGCUAGAAACAUAUAUUUUAUUACAUCCAACUUUAAUGUGUGCUUCCUGCAAUAAAUGCUACAUGUUUACUGAUGUAGCCUAUGAAAUACAUAUCACUCUCUGCCCUGUAAUUUAAUUGGUGUGUCACAUACUGCAGCAUAACUUUCCUGCUAUUUUCUUACACUAUGAGUUGCCUAAUUUUGUCUCAUUUGCUUUUAUCAUAUGUGCCUCCGCUGCAUAGUUGUGCCUGCUGAGCUUAAUAUCUUCAUGACCCUAACACCAAGGUCAGAGCUUGUGAGAUCAUACCGUGUCCUACAUUCCAUUUUCACCUCCAGGCUUGGCUGUCUCCCAGGACCACCAAGUUAUUGCAUUCCAUUUAAGACAACUCAUGUACGUGUUACCUUCUUAAUGUCCUCCAUCAUGUAUUUCAGCAUGUUUUAUGAUGCUUUGCUCUUAUAUUGAUGUGCCUUGCAACAUUUUUAUACAGUUUUCAUUGUAUAUAACGCACCAUUGUUGGUUUUGCCUGUUAUAAAUUGGGUCAUGUUCAGUUAACAAGCUUUGAGUGUCUCCCAUUGUUUAUUUCAGUUGUAAUGCUUAGAAGCUUUUGUUCUCUGCCCUGUCAAGCAGUAUGCAAUGCUUGCCAUUAUCUAGCACUUGUACAGUUAGUAUGAUAUUUUUACUCAGCUAAGAGCAUUUUGCAAACGGUAAAGGUAAGGCUGGGGGCAUACGCUGUAGCAGCACGUGGCCUCGGUGCUCAUCUCUGUAACAUUAGCCCAUGAUCGAGCCUGUGGUGUUAGGGAACCCAUUACCCUGGGACACAGGACCAGUGUGACAUCCGGGUUACCACAGUUGCAAAGGCAUUAUAGUAAUUUAGCAUGCAUAGAAUGUUGUAUGCUUUGCUUAUAUUUAAAGCACUGGAUAUGUUUGCUACACACACACAC